rnacentral:rRNA from 1 species
AUUGAACGCUGGCGGCAGGCCUAACACAUGCAAGUCGAACGAGUGGCGGACGGGUGAGUAAUGCUUGGGAAUCUGGCUUAUGGAGGGGGAUAACUAUGGGAAACUGUGGCUAAUACCCCGUACCAUACGAUGAGCCCAAGUGGGAUUAGGUAGUUGGUGAGUGAAAGGCUCACCAGGCAGACGAUCCCUAGCUGGUCUGAGAGGAUGACCAGCCACACUGGGACUGAGACACGGACCGGACUCCGACGGGAGGCAGCAGUGGGGAAUAGUGCACAAUGGGCGGAGGCCUGAUGCAGCCAUGCCGCGUGUAGGGAGCAGGCCUUAGGGUUGUAAAGUACUUUCAGCGGGGAGGCGUUACUCGCAAAAGAAGCACCGGCUAACUCCGUGCCAGCAGCCGCGGUAAUUC